UGGGCCUAAAGCGUCGUAGCUGGCAGACAAGUCAUUGGGAAAUCCACGCGCUCAACGCGUGGGCGUCCAGCGGAAACUGUCUGGCUUGGGGCCGGAGGACUCGAGGGGUACGUCUGGGGUAGGAGUGAAAUCCCGUAAUCCUGGACGGACCACCGGUGGCGAAAGCGCCUCGAGAGGACGGACCCGACAGUGAGGGACGAAAGCCAGGGUCUCGAACC
rnacentral:rRNA from 1 species